UCGACCACGGACUCCCUUAGGUCCCCAUCAACCAGGAUGCCCACUCCAUUCUUACCCCUCUCAAGCCCAGAGUACCACAGCUUAAACCCAUCAACGUCCCGCGCCUUCGACCCUUUCCACCUAGUCUCCUGGACGCACGCUAUGUUAACCCUUCGCUGUUGCAGAACCUUCACCAACUCAAUGGACUUACCCGUCAGAGUACCUAUGUUCCAAGACCCAAUCCUUAGUCUAUGGACGUCCGCCGCCCUCUUACCAC
rnacentral:lncRNA from 1 species